UCUUCACAAACUCAUCAACUGAACCAAGAACAACAACAAUACUUGCUAGAUUUCUAUUUUCAAAUUUCUUAUCGUGUGAGUAUGGGUAUCCUCGCUUUCACUGAAGAAAUCCAUUGCCCCGUUUCAGCUAUAAGGAUGUUCCGCGGCGAUGGCGAUGAACAUUUGGCCGUUGUAAGUUUACCGAAACGCUGAAGUUUACGAUCAACUGAGUCAAGAUCUGGCUGGUUUAUUUAAGUAAAUCAAUCUCGCUUGACCAAAAUUAAGUGUUGAUUUGGUGACUUAAUAUGAAUAUUUGUGUGUGUUCUUAAGUAUUUUCGUCCUAUGUAUUAUCCACUUACAUGUAUGUGGUGGGUGGGUACGUAGUGUUGUACCUUUCCUCAUCAUGCAAUAAAUAAAGGAGAUAUUAUUACUACUA